rnacentral:lncRNA from 1 species
UAGAAUUUUCCCAAAACCCGGCGAAAAUACAAGUCACAAGCUCUAAGAAUUUAUUCUGAAUAUCUCUAUUAUCAGAGUCUAAUGAAGAUAAGGGAAACAACAUAAUAAAGAUAGAGAGGGACUCCGAGGUCUGCGGACGCUGGCAUUUAUACCUUGAAGUCUCCGCGUACUGCUAACUCACUGAUACCUGGUCUGGUAGGAAGUACCUGAAUCUGCACAAAAAGAUAUGCAGAAGCAUAGCAUGAGUACACCACAGCGGUACCUAGGAAGUGCCAAACCUAACCUCGAUAGAGUAGUGACGAGGUCAAGUCAGGGCCCUACUGAAAAUAAAUAAUAAGGAACAUGGCAAAAGAUUUAACAAUGUAUAAUAAUAAUAAUAAUAAUAAUAAUAAUAAUAAUAAUAAUAAUAAUAAUAAUAAUAAUAAUAAUAAUAAUAAUAAUAAAAGGUAUCUAAUGGUAUUUUGGUAGUGAGGCGGUGUGUUUAUGCCCGUACCAAAGUUGGCGGUCACAUACUGAUAUGUUCUAUAUAUGUGCUUGUGUGUAUUUGUUAGAGGAAAGAGUAUUGUAUUCUCUAAUUGUCUUAUGCUAUUGGAGUGGUGGUUGAUAGUUUUUUUUUAGGUGGAAAAAUUAUAUGUUUAGUUAAAAGUAUGUCCACUAAGAAGAUCAGUUAUUUGGUUUUUUAUUAAACUGCCCAUUAUGCGCUGCUAAUGUUGAAAAAGUUGUUCGUUUAUGCCUGUUUUUCUUAUUCCUUGUCUUUUCCCCUUUUUAUCACUCCAUAUCUCAAUAUUUUAAAGUUGUGUAAAGCAAAGCAUCCAUAACAUAGUAUAAUGGCGUUGUGGUCACAUUUGAAUAUUGCUAAUUGUAUUUUAAGGAAUCACUUUUUUUUUAUUUGGCGAUGCAGGAGUGACAUAUAAUCUUUUGUUAGUGGAAGAUGAAUUUACAUAUUAAGGGAAACAAAACAAACAAAGACAAGUACCCCAAAUGAGGAAUAUCAGCAGGGUCACUCCCGAGGUACCGCAUCGUAGUCACAGAUCAUAAAUAAUUUCACAAUCUUUUAUUAUAUCAUCGCGGGAGCCUUAACAUUUAGUUUUAAAAAUUAUUUUUUUCUGAAAUAGCAUCCCUCGUUUUAGCCCACCUUAUCACACUGCAUGGCUUCUAGUAGUUCCCCUACUAGCCAUGCGUAUCAAACCCACCUUAUCUCACCGCAUGCAUUUCAACACCCAGACCUUAUACCACCACAUGCGUAUCAAUAUCACAAUUCGCACCUCAGAUGCCCAAAUAUUUCGACUUGCCAAAUAAAUCAACAAUAACAAUAUUUUUCACAAUAAGGAGCUCGCAGCUCAAUCACAAUGUAUACAAAAAUCUGAACAAAAUAUUCGAGAGUGAACAACUCAACAAAAUAAUAUUUAAUAAUUUAACACUUUUAUUUCAAUAUGAUUUAUGGCUUUUAUAUUUUUAUUCCAAUUUCAAUAAUCGAUAUUCCCAUAAUUUAACAACUCAAUUAAGGAAUUCAACCUUCAAAUAAUGAGCACAAAAUAAAAGGGAACAAAACUUCAACUAAACAAGUAAAGCAAUUAGUAGGAAAAGGUGAGCCAAGAGGACAUAUGAAAAUAGAAUAACGAUGAUGAAUAUAACAUGAUAGAAUAAUUUAAUUAAUAUGUGACAGAGAUCUACAUAAUUUAAAGUCAGAAAUUUUUAUAUUUAGCCUUUGUACAUACUCGUCACCUCGCGUGCACGACUUUCAAUACAUCACAAUUAUCUUAACAAUAUCAAUCCUAAGGGAAAUUUUUCUCACACAAGAUUAAACAAGUCACUUACCUCGACUUGCGUUAAUUCAAUCCACUAUUACGUCUUUUUCUCGAUUAUCCAACUCCUAGUGGCUCGAAUAUUUUACAGCAACACUUCAAUAUCAAAUUAAUGAGAAGACCAAGAAUAGCUUGACCAGAAAUAGAUCUUUACAGCAGAGAUUGGAUCGAAACCUUGACCAAAUAGAACCUCGAACCAGAGGAAAUUUUGAGAUACAAAUAGAGGCUCAAGGUCAUCACGUGAUGUUGUUUCAAUGGUUUUGCUACAAGUUGAGUGUUGGGUUU